ensembl:snRNA U6 U6 spliceosomal RNA
GGGCUGGCUCUGCCAGUACAGAUACUAGAAGUGGAAGGAUACAGAGAAGAUGAGCAUUGGCCCCUUGCAAGGAUGACACACAAGUUAGUGAAAUGUUCCAUAUUUUG